UCUAUAACUCCGCCUGCAGCUCCUCCGGGGGCUACUGCCGGUCCCAAGCCCGAGUAAAGGAGGAGGGUUGG
rnacentral:ribozyme from 2 species